UACAGAGGUCCCAAGCGUUGUUCGGAUUCACUGGGCGUAAAGGGUGCGUAGGUGGUUGUGCAAGUCUGAUGUGAAAUCUCCGGGCUUAACCCGGAAAUGGCAUUGGAAACUGCAUGGCUAGAGGGUUGGAGGGGGGACUGGAAUACUUGGUGUAGCAGUGAAAUGCGUAGAUAUCUGGAGGAACACCGAUGGCGAAGGCAGCCCCCUGGGUCAAGACUGACGCUCAUGCACGAAAGCGUGGGGAGCAAACAGG
rnacentral:rRNA from 1 species